rnacentral:rRNA from 1 species
UACGAAGGGUGCUAGCGUUGUUCGGAAUCACUGGGCGUAAAGCGCGCGUAGGCGGCUUUUCAAGUCAGGGGUGAAAUCCCACAGCUCAACUGUGGAACUGCCUUUGAAACUGCAAAGCUAGAGUGUCGGAGGGGAUAGCGGAAUUGCUAAUGUAGAGGUGAAAUUCGUAGAUAUUAGCAGGAACACCGGUGGCGAAGGCGGCUAUCUGGACGACAACUGACGCUGAGGCGCGAAAGCGUGGGGAUCAAACAGG